rnacentral:rRNA from 1 species
AACCUUUACAAUGCACGCAAGUGUGAUAGGGGAAUCCUGAGUGCUUAGCUUUGCUAGGCUUUUGCUAAGAGGAAACAUCUUGGCGAAUAAGCGGUGGGAAAGACUGGUGCCAGCCGCCGCGGUAACACCAGCGCCGCUAGUGGGGAUCGUGUUUAUUUGGCCUAAAGCGUCCGUAGCUGGCACUGUAAAUCUCUUGUGAAAUCGUUCGGCUUAACCGAACGGCGUGCAGGAGAGACUGCAGCGCUAGGGACCGGGAGGCGUCAGAGAUAUGCCGGGGGGAGCGGUAAAAUGCUAUAAUCCCCGGUGGAUCACCUGUGGCGAAGGCGUCUGACGAGAACGGGUCCGACAGUGAGGGACGAAAGCCAGGGGAGCAAACCGG